GAUGAAGAACGCAGCGAAAUGCGAUAAGUAAUGCGAAUUGCAGAAUUUCCGUGAGUCAUCGAAUCUUUGAACGCACAUUGCGCCCACUGGUAUUCCGGUGGGCAUGCCUGUUCGAGCGUCAUUAUCCUCCCUCAAAACUCCUGUUUUGGUGUUGGGCCGCGUUGGUCACCUCCGACCAACGGGCCUUAAAGACAAUGACGGCGUCCGUGGGACCCUCUUCGCAGUGAGCUUUUGUUAGCGCGCGUUUAGUUUAAAGGACCUUCCGGGCCGGCCACCUUUUAUCUAUUUUACAAGGUUGACCUCGGAUCAGGUAGGAAUACCCGCUGAACUUAAGCAUAUCAAUAAGCGGAGGA
rnacentral:misc_RNA from 1 species